GAGGAUAUAGCUCAGUGGUAGAGUACAUGCUUAAUUAGCAUGCAGAAGGUCCUGAGUCCAAUCCCCAGUACCUCCA
rnacentral:tRNA from 1 species